rnacentral:misc_RNA from 1 species
AACAAACCUUGAUAUCCUUGAAAUUUUUUCUUUAAACACAAAUCCUGGAAAUAUCUUAAAAAUAUCUAGAGCCACAAGCUGCUAAUGUCAAAAUUCCCACAGAACUGAACCAAGUAUUGUGAUUAAAAAUAUAAAUGAAUCUCAACCACUUGUUAAAAGGAGAAUCGAUCGUGAUUUUAAAUAACGUUUGUUAUGCAACCUAAUGGCUGUUAAACACAAGUUUUUGAGGGGGU